GGCAGUUCUCGGGUGACGCACCCCAGAAUCAAGCUCCCUCCUCUCUGGUUCUGGGUGCAUCACUGGAGAACCACC
rfam:Myotis lucifugus cont2.17843, whole genome shotgun sequence.